rnacentral:ncRNA from 1 species
CAACUUGAGAGUUUGAUCCUGGCUCAGAACGAACGCUGGCGGCAGGCCUAAUACAUGCAAGUCGAGCGAAGCCUUCGGGCUUAGCGGCGGACGGGUGAGUAACGCGUGGGAAUGUGCCCUUCUCUACGGAAUAGUCCCGGGAAACUGGGUUUAAUACCGUAUACGCCCUUCGGGGGAAAGAUUUAUCGGAGAAGGAUCAGCCCGCGUCUGAUUAGGUAGUUGGUGGGGUAAUGGCCUACCAAGCCUACGAUCAGUAGCUGGUUUGAGAGGAUGAUCAGCCACACUGGGACUGAGACACGGCCCAGACUCCUACGGGAGGCAGCAGUAGGGAAUCUUAGACAAUGGGGGAAACCCUGAUCUAGCCAUGCCGCGUGUGUGACGAAGGCCUUAGGGUCGUAAAGCACUUUCGCCAGGGAUGAUAAUGACAGUACCUGGUAAAGAAACCCCGGCUAACUCCGUGCCAGCAGCCGCGGUAAUACGGAGGGGGUUAGCGUUGUUCGGA